UGCCUAAACCCUAUAUUUCUAUGGGGCAUGGCAUAAAAUCCCUCGUAGGUAUCAAGCUCGUCGUCAGAGCACCUGCGAGGGUCAUGUCGGGAAACUGGCAUGGGUGGCCGUAAGGCCAUC
rnacentral:sRNA from 12 species